UACGAAGGGGGCUAGCGUUGCUCGGAAUCACUGGGCGUAAAGCGCACGUAGGCGGGUCGUUAAGUCAGGGGUGAAAUCCUGGAGCUCAACUCCAGAACUGCCCUUGAUACUGGCGAUCUCGAGUUCGGGAGAGGUGAGUGGAACUGCGAGUGUAGAGGUGAAAUUCGUAGAUAUUCGCAAGAACACCAGUGGCGAAGGCGGCUCACUGGCCCGGAACUGACGCUGAGGUGCGAAAGCGUGGGGAGCAAACAGG
rnacentral:rRNA from 1 species